rnacentral:rRNA from 1 species
GUUGGUAGCCAUGGAGGAGAGGGUACACCCAAUCCCAUUCCGAACUUGGAAGUUAAGCUCUCCAUCGCCGAUGAUACUGCAUAAC